GAGCCAUCCCCGUUGGACACGAUGCUGGAACCGGGCUGUCGUGGUGGCAUACGGUUUAUUAAUUGCUCGUUAGCUGCAGCGCUUCGUUUGGCAUGCGUGCGUGCGGGCAGGCGCGAGGCGGAGUUGUGCCAGCAAUGACCAGCUCGGAGACACGACAAGUUACCGCAUGGUAGAAAAGUACAAACACACACGGGACGUGCCAUGGCAGCCGGGCGCUGGGCUAUGUACAGAGCAGGGCAGGACGGCGGGAGCCAGGGAAGCCAGAGGCACGCCGGAGCCGGAGGAUGCUGGAGGCACGCCGGAGCCAGCGAUGCCAGAGGCAUGCCGGAGCCGGAGGAUGCUCGAGGCACACCAGGGAUGCUGGAAGCACACCGGAGCUGGAGGAUGUUCGAGGCGCACCAGAGCCGGGGAUGCUGGAGCCGGAGAUGCUGGAAGCACGCCUGAGCCGGAGGAUGCUCGAGGCGCACCGGAGCCGGGGAUGCUGGAGCCGGGGAUGCCGGAGGCAUGCCAGAGCCGGAGGAUGCCCGAGGCAUGCUGGAGGCAGGGGAUGCCGGAGGCGCACUGGAGGUGGAGCACGCCAGAAGCACGCCGAGGCCAGGGACGCUCGAUCCCCAGCUCCCCUGGGUGCUCAGGCCUCGCUGGAUGCGUGCAGGCUGCAGCCCAGGGGGCUGUGCAGGAGGAAGAUCCGGGCUCCAGGGAGAACCUAGACAUCCCGAGGACCCGUCGGGGCCACCCGACCUGGGGACAGGCCCCAUGGGGACCCACGCACCCCUGUGCCCACUCCGACAGG
rnacentral:lncRNA from 1 species